CGGGGUGAGUAACGCGUGGGUAACCUGCCUCAUACAGGGGGAUAACAGUUAGAAAUGACUGCUAAUACCGCAUAAGCGCACAGUGCUGCAUGGCACAGUGUGAAAAACUCCGGUGGUAUGAGAUGGACCCGCGUCUGAUUAGCUAGUUGGUGGGGUAACGGCCUACCAAGGCGACGGUCAGUAGCCGGCCUGAGAGGGUGAACGGCCACAUUGGGACUGAGACACGGCCCAA
rnacentral:rRNA from 1 species